GGGGUGGAGCUCAGAGGUGGAGCACUUGCCUGGUAAGCACAAGGUCUUGGGUUCAAUCCCUAACCACCCCC
rnacentral:tRNA from 1 species